GAUGAACGCUGGCGGCGUGCCUAAUACAUGCAAGUCGAGCGAACAGACGAGGAGCUUGCUCCUCUGACGUUAGCGGCGGACGGGUGAGUAACACGUGGAUAACCUACCUAUAAGACUGGGAUAACUUCGGGAAACCGGAGCUAAUACCGGAUAAUAUAUUGAACCGCAUGGUUCAAUAGUUAAAGACGGUUUUGCUGUCACUUAUAGAUGGAUCCGCGCCGCAUUAGCUAGUUGGUAAGGUAACGGCUUACCAAGGCAACGAUGCGUAGCCGACCUGAGAGGGUGAUCGGCCACCCUGGAACUGAGACACGGUCCAGACUCCUACGGGAGGCAGCAGUAGGGAAUCUUCCGCAAUGGGCGAAAGCCUGACGGAGCAACGCCGCGUGAGUGAUGAAGGUCUUCGGAUCGUAAAACUCUGUUAUUAGGGAAGAACAAAUGUGUAAGUAACUAUGCACGUCUUGACGGUACCGAAUCAGAAAGCCACGGCUAACUACGUG
rnacentral:rRNA from 1 species